AUUGAACGCUGGCGGCAUGCCUUACACAUGCAAGUCGAACGAGUGGCGAACGGGUGAGUAAUACAUCGGAACGUGCCCUGCAGUGGGGGAUAACUAGGCGAAAGACUAGCUAAAACCGCAUACUAGAGGCGGGGACGGUGUCGGGUUAGCUAGUGGGUGGGGUAAAGGCCUACCAAGGCGACGAACAGUAGCUGGGCUGAGGGGACGAUCAGCCACACUGGGACUGAAACACGGCCCAGACUCCAACGGGAGGCAGCAGUGGGGAAUUGUGGACAAUGGGGGCAACCCUGAUCCAGCAAUGCCGCGUAUGUGAAGAAGGCCUUGGGGUUGUAAAGCACUUUUGUCCGGGAAGCGGUACCAGAAGAAUAAGGACCGGCUAACUACGUGCCAGCAGCCGCGGUAAUAC
rnacentral:rRNA from 1 species